rnacentral:snRNA from 1 species
GUGGCCUCGGCCUUUUGGCUAAGAUCAAGUGUAGUAUCUGUUCUUAUAAGUUUCAUAUCUGAUAUGUCCUCCAGGCAGUGGGGGGUGAAAUUGUUGGAAGUCCACCCCUGAUUGACAGACUACACAAAAUCUGUCAAUCAAACGUUU